UUAGCCUACUGGCUUUACCGGUGAAGAAAAAAAUGAGCAGAGAGAGAGAGAGCAAUCUGUCCCAAGACACAGAGUAUCACAAACUCACAAGCUGUACCCGGCCCCGUGGGAAAGGGAAGAGCUCCAUGAGCCAAGUGUGAGCCCCGGACAAUGUCAGACCCACUCCCCGGAAGCUUGAAGUCUCCUCACCCCAGGAGGCACGGACAGGAGAUGACUUGUUCAAGCUCGCUCAGAGUCGAGGGGUUCCCUCUGUGGACCCUCUGCUACCCUCUCCUAUGUCCAGCCACUGGAAUCUGCUGGGGCUCUGCCUCCAGCACCCUUCGACCUGUGUGGCUUCUCUCCAGCCCUGGGGAUGUCAGCACUGGACAAGGAUCAUUCACUCCUGAGGAAACUGGCUGUCAUGUCCUAAGGAGUCUCAAGCAAACCUAUGGAGAGGUGCACACGGUGAGGAACUGAGCCCUUCAACCAACAGCCAUGUGAGGGAGCCCUUUUGGAAGCUGAUCCACCUUCAGAGGGCCACAGCCCUGAACAAUGUGGUUACUGUACCUCCCGUGAGAGACAACCACUUCCAGAUUCCUGACGCUCACAAACUGCUCUUGCAGUAAAUGUAACUGGUCUCUGCUUAGCUUCUGAGGAUGACUUCCCCAGCACCAGGCUCCUGAUGUGUAAGUGACCAGCAGGACCUAACAGCCAGCAGCUUCCCCCAGGACCUACCCUGCUUAUGUGCUUUCAUACAGUAACUGUGGUGAGAUGAUUUUCUAUGAAUAGCUUUCUCCAGCAUCCUAAUAGUUUUCCAGCCUAUAGGGUGAAUUUCUAGCAAAUUCCACCAGCAUGGCACCAUAGCCACCACUCUGCCGUUUACAAGGGCUGGAUCUUAGCCUGGCUGUGUGGGGUUCAGGAUUCUUCUUUGGGCACAACCAUUGUACUAUUUUAGCCAUAUGGCCAGUGGCUGUUCCCCAAAUCUGCUACUCCUAUAUUCUUUCAAGUUCUCUUUACUUCUCAGUGGCCAAAUCCUUUACUCAUGUUAGUUGCUCAGUCAUGUCUGACUCUUUGCAACCCCAGGCUCCUCUGUCAUGAAAUUCUCCAGGCAAGAAUGCUGGAGUGGUCAGCCAUUUCUCUGAGAAUAUUUUAUCAAUUGCAGA